rnacentral:rRNA from 1 species
CCUACGGGAGGCAGCAGUGGGGAAUAUUGGGCAAUGGGCGCAAGCCUGACCCAGCAACGCCGCGUGAAGGAAGAAGGCUUUCGGGUUGUAAACUUCUUUUGUCAGGGACGAAGAAAGUGACGGUACCUGGCGAAUAAGCCACGCCUAACUACGUGCCAGCAGCCGCGGUAAUACGUAGGCGGCAAGCGUUCUACGGAUUUACUGGGUGUAAAGGGCGUGUAGGCGGGACUGCAAGUCAGAUGGGAAAGCCACGGGCUCAACCUGUGGCCUGCAUUUGAAACUGUAGUUCUUGAGUACUGGGGAGGCAGGCGGAAUUCGGAGUGUAGCGGUGAAAUGCGUAGAUAUUAGGAGGAACACCAGUGGCGAAGGCGGUCUGCUGGACAGCAACUGACGCUGAGGCGCGAAAGCGUGGGGAGCAAACAGGAUUAGAUACCCCAGUAGUC